rnacentral:rRNA from 1 species
GACGUAGGGCGCGAGCGUUGUCCGGAUUUAUUGGGCGUAAAGAGCUCGUAGGCGGCUCGUUGCGUCGGCUGUGAAAACCCGGGGCUCAACUCCGGGCUUGCGGGCGAUACGGGCAGGCUAGAGUUCGGUAGGGGAGACUGGAAUUCCUGGUGUAGCGGUGAAAUGCGCAGAUAUCAGGAGGAACACCGGUGGCGAAGGCGGGUCUCUGGGCCGAUACUGACGCUGAGGAGCGAAAGCGUGGGGAGCGAACAGG